GUAGCAGCAGUCACAUGUCACAUAUAAUUCACAUGCGGCAGGCGGUAGUUUGCGGUGCACACACACAUUGAAAAACACACGCGCGCAAAAUCAUGCUUCCCCUUUUGGGCUGACGCAGCAAUGGAGGGAAGAGGCAGAAGGGAAUCAAAUGUUACCAUUCCUCCUCGUCAUAACCACGCUACGCAGGACAACUCCAAAGAGUGACAAACUGAAAUGGAAUUGAAAAUCACCUACUGGCAACUGACAUCCUAGAUAAGAUCAAAAAAUUACAACCCAACCUGAUGAUCUGCAAGAUACCCGAACAUUCAAAGGCAGGACUUCAGAGCCCAAGACCACCGCCCGGCCUCUCCUCCUCUGGGCUGCAGUGAUGCUGGGACUCUGGGAAUUGGAAGUCAAUGAAACCAUGCCUAAUUUAGUCUUCACUCCUCCUUGAGCUGCCACGAAUCAAGAGUGAGACUCUUUCCCUUUUAGGGCUCUCUGGACACUGCGAUCGGCGAGUGGCACUCCUGCAUUCCGAUCUACGCCAAGGAGUGUUGGAUGAGAAAGAAAGAGGCGACGGUCACAACUGUGAUUAUUUUCUAGCUGUUAAGUGUGUCAAUAUUCUAACAAAGUACCUAUCUAUAAACCUUUCAGUAUCAGUUUACAACCAUAUUAUCAACCCAUUCAAGGAUUUUUCCAAAAAGACUAGCAUUUGGCAGUCAGGCGUCCCAGUAAUUAGGUUUGAUGAAUAAUCAUGGACUCUAUACUUAAAGAACCCGUUCAAACAGGCUCCCACACCAUGUCAUCGUUAAUAGGCAGAGUACAAAUGAAACUAGAGGCUGUGGGUUGGAGUCUUUUUUUCCCCUCUCCAUCCUGAUGUAACUAAAAUGUAUUAUUUAUAUUACAAUGUAUUAUUUAUAUUACAAUAUUAUUCUAAAUGACAAAACGGUAAAUUUAGACAUUUUUGUUUCAAUGUUAGACAUUUUUACAUUAUUUGUCAACACAGCACAAGAACUUUGAAAGUAUGUAACAAAACUGUCUGUCAGUCUUAUCCUCAAUUCAUUUGAGGCGCGUAUUGCUGUAAUUGAACAGCCAGUGUAAUAAUCACAUGAAAGCAAUUUAAAUUGAUAAUCCCAUGAAUCCAUCCAAAGUGCCUGUUUUAGGUUACAAUGAGGAGAUGAGCGCAAAAUACCAGAUUAUGAUGAGAAGUGUUCUUGUCUCAUCAGGGAAAAUAAUUCAAUUAAACCUCUCUCGCAGGAACAUGACUGUUUUACAGAAACAUAUGUAUAAUCUUUAACUGGAAGGCAAAUUCUUCAGACAAUUGAUAGGUGACUAUAAAUGAUCAUUUAAGGCAAACAAACCAUGUAAUUACUGGCAUGCAAUCAGCAAAGUAAAGUGACAACAACAUAAUUUAUGCAACUUUGUACCAUUUACUUUCAAUCAGAUAUGGCAGAUAAGGUUGUUGCAUUUAGCCUUCAAUUAU